UACGUAGGGUCCGAGCGUUGUCCGGAAUUAUUGGGCGUAAAGGGCUCGUAGGCGGUUUGUCACGUCGGGAGUGAAAACUCAGGGCUCAACCCUGAGCGUGCUUUCGAUACGGGGCAGACUAGAGGUAUUCAGGGGAGAACGGAAGUUCCUGGUGUAGCGGUGGAAUGCGCAGAUAUCAGGAGGAACACCGGUGGCGAAGGCGGUUCUCUGGGAAUUACCUGACGCUGAGGAGCGAAAGCAUGGGGAGCGAACAGG
rnacentral:rRNA from 1 species